UACGGGAGGCAGCAGUGGGGAAUAUUGCACAAUGGGCGAAAGCCUGAUGCAGCUAUGCCGCGUGUAUGAAGAAGGCCUUAGGGUUGUAAAGUACUUUCAUCGGGGAGGAAAAACAAAACUAAUAAUUUUAUUUCUUGACGUUACCCGAAAAAGAAGCACCGGCUAACUCCGUGCCAGCAGCCGCGGUAAUACGGAGGGUGCUAGCGUUAAUCAGAAUUACUGGGCGUAAAGAGCACGUAGGUGGUUUUUUUAAGUCAGAUGUGAAAUCCCUGGGCUUAACCUAGGAACUGCAUUUUGAAACUGAAAUACUAGAGUAUCGUAGAGGGAGGUAGAAUUCUAGGUGUAGCGGUGAAAUGCGUAGAUAUCUGGAGGAAUACCUAUGGCGAAAGCGGCCUCCUAAACGAAUACUGACACUGAGGUGCGAAAGCGUGGGGAGCAAACAGGGAUUAGAUACC
rnacentral:rRNA from 1 species